rnacentral:rRNA from 1 species
UACGUAGGGUGCAAGCGUUGUCCGGAAUUAUUGGGCGUAAAGAGCUCGUAGGCGGUCUGUCGCGUCUGCUGUGAAGACUCAGGGCUUAACCCUGAGCUUGCAGUGGGUACGGGCAGACUAGAGUGCGGUAGGGGAGACUGGAAUUCCUGGUGUAGCGGUGGAAUGCGCAGAUAUCAGGAGGAACACCGGUGGCGAAGGCGGGUCUCUGGGCAGUAACUGACGCUGAGGAGCGAAAGCGUGGGGAGCGAACAGG